GACGAACGCUGGCGGCGUGCCUAAUACAUGCAAGUUGAGCGCUGAAGGUUUGUACUUGUACCAACUGGAUGAGCAGCGAACGGGUGAGUAACGCGUGGGGAAUCUGCCUUUGAGCGGGGGACAACAUUUGGAAACGAAUUCUAAUACCGCAUAAAAACUUUAAAAACAAGUUUUAAGUUUUAAAGAUGCAAUUGCAUCACUCAAAGAUGAUCCCGCGUUGUAUUAGCUAGUUGGUGAGGUAAAGGCUCACCAAGGCGAUGAUACAUAGCCGACCUGAGAGGGUGAUCGGCCACAUUGGAACUGAGACACGGCCCAAACUCCUACGGGAGGCAGCAGUAGGGAAUCUUCGGCAAUGGACGAAAGUCUGACCGAGCAACGCCGCGUGAGUGAAGAAGGUUUUCGGAUCGUAAAACUCUGUUGGUAGAGAAGAACGUUGGUGAGAGUGGAAAGCUCAUCAAGUGACGGUAACUAACCAGAAAGGGACGGCUAAUUACGU
rnacentral:rRNA from 1 species